GACGAACGCUGGCGGUGUGCUUCACACAUGCAAGUCGAACGAGGUAGCAAUACCUAGUGGCGGACGGGUGAGUAACGCGUGGGAAUCUGCCUUUAGAUGGGGGAUAACGGGUCGAAAGACUCGCUAAUACCGCAUAUGACGAAAGUUGAAGGAGUAAUCCGUCUAAAGAUGAGCCCGCGUCCGAUUAGCUAGUUGGUAGAGUAAAAGCCUACCAAGGCGACGAUCGGUAGCUGGUCUGAGAGGAUGAUCAGCCAACAAAUGGGACUGAGACACGGCCCAUACUCCUACGGGAGGCAGCAGUGGGAAUUUUACGCAAUAGGGCGAAAGCCUGACGUAGCGACACCGCGUGAGCGAAGAAGCCCCUUGGGGUGUAAAGCUCUGUCAGCUGGAACGAAAAAAAAUGACGGUACCAGCAGAGGAAGCAUCGGCUAACUACGUGCCAGCAGCCGC
rnacentral:rRNA from 1 species